GACGAACGCUGGCGGCGUGCUUAACACAUGCAAGUCGAACGGAAAGGCCCUGCUUUUGUGGGGUGCUCGAGUGGCGAAAGGGUGAGUAACACGUGAGUAACCUGCCCUUGACUUUGGGAUCACUUCAGGAAACUGGGGCUAAUACCGGAUAGGAGCUCCUGCUGCAUGGUGGGGGUUGGAAAGUUUCGGCGGUUGGGGAUGGACUCGCGGCUUAUCAGCUUGUUGGUGGGGUAGUGGCUUACCAAGGCUUUGACGGGUAGCCGGCCUGAGAGGGUGACCGGCCACAUGGGGACUGAGAUACGGCCCAGACUCCUUCGGGAGGCAUCAGUGGGGAAUAUUGCACAAUGGGCGGAAGCCUGAGGCAGCAACGCCGCGUGCGGGAUGACGGCCUUCGGGUUGUAAACCGCUUUCGCCUGUGACGAAGCGUGAGUGACGGUAAUGGGUAAAGAAGCACCGGCUAACUACGUG
rnacentral:rRNA from 1 species